rnacentral:rRNA from 1 species
AACACAUGCAAGUCGAGGGGCAGCGAGAUGUAGCAAUACGUCGUCGGCGACCGGCGAAUGGGUGAGUAACACGUAUGCAACUUACCUCUUAGUGGUGAAUAACCCGAUGAAAGUCGGACUAAUACACCAUACUCUCCUUAGAUCUCAUGAGAAGAGGAGGAAAGAUUAAUCGCUAAGAGAUAGGCCUGCGUUCCAUUAGCUAGUUGGUAAGGUAACGGCUUACCAAGGCAACGAUGGAUAGGGGGACUGAGAGGUUGACCCCCCACAUUGACACUGAGAUACGGGUCAAACUCCUACGGGAGGCAGCAGUGAGGAAUAUUGGUCAAUGGGCGAGAGCCUGAACCAGCCAAGUCGCGUGAAGGAAGACUGCCCGCAAGGGUUGUAAACUUCUUUUGUAUGGGAUUAAAGUCACCUACGUGUAGGUGUUUGCAGUUACCAUACGAAUAAGCAUCGGCUAACUCCGUGCCAGCAGCCGCGGUAAUACGGAGGAUGCGAGCGUUAUCCGGAAUUAUUGGGUUUAAAGGGUGCGUAGGUUGCAAGGGAAGUCAGGGGUGAAAAGCUGUAGCUCAACUAUGGUCUUGCCUUUGAAACUCUCUAGCUAGAGUGUACUGGAGGUACGUGGAACGUGUGGUGUAGCGGUGAAAUGCAUAGAUAUCACACAGAACUCCGAUUGCGCAGGCAGCGUACUACAUUACAACUGACACUGAAG